AGCUUUCCUCGGAAAACUACUAGUGGCAAACGGGUGAGUAACACGUGGGGAUCUGCCCAGGAGUGGGGAACAACUCCGAGAAAUCGGAGCUAAUACCGCAUACGGUUUGGUCUGAAGAGGCUAAAACUAAAGCUUCGUGCAAGCGAGGCGCUUUUGGAGGAACCUGCGGCUGAUUAGCUAGUUGGUGGGGUAAAGGCCUACCAAGGCGAUGAUCAGUAGCUGGUCUGAGAGGAUGGACAGCCACACUGGGACUGAGAUACGGCCCAGACUCCUACGGGAGGCAGCAGCAAGGAAUUUUCGUCAAUGGGGGCAACCCUGAACGAGCAACGCCGCGUGGGCGAAGAAGUCCUUCGGGAUGUAAAGCCCUUUUCCCUGUGAAGAGCGAAAGACGGUAGCAGGGGAAUAAGCAUCGGCUAACUACGUGCCAGCAGCCGCGGUAAUACGUAGGAUGCAAGCGUUGUCCGGAAUUAUUGGGCGUAAAGAGCGCGCAGGCGGCCUUUCAAGUCAGAUGUGAAAUAACCAGGCUUAACCUGGUGGGGUCAUUUGAAACUGGGGGGCUAGAGUACAGCAGAGGAUAGCGGAAUUCCCGGUGUAGUGGUGAAAUGCGUAGAUAUCGGGAGGAACACCAGUGGCGAAGGCGGCUAUCUGGGCUGCAACUGACGCUGAGGCGCGAAGGCUAGGGGAGCAAACAGGAUUAGAUACCCUGGUAGUCCUAGCAGUAAACGAUGGAUACUAGGUGUUGGGGGAAAUUGACCCCCUCAGUGCCGGCGUCAACACAAUAAGUAUCCCGCCUGGGGAGUACGGUCGCAAGAUUAA
rnacentral:rRNA from 1 species